CAGUUGAGCGGAGAUAUAUGGAGCUUGCUUUAUAUAACUUAGCAGCGAACGGGUGAGUAACACGUAGAUAAUCUAUCCUAUACUGGGGGAUAGCCCGAUGAAAGUUGGAUUAAUACCGCAUAUAGCUAUAUAGUUGCAUGAUUAUGUAGUGAAAGAUUUAUUGGUAUAGGAGGAGUCUGCGGCACAUUAGCUAGUAGGUGAGGUAAAGGCUUACCUAGGCGACGAUGUGUAGCCGGUCUGAGAGGAUGAACGGCCACAAUGGAACUGAGACACGGUCCAUACUCCUACGGGAGGCAGCAGUGGGGAAUAUUGCACAAUGGGGGAAACCCUGAUGCAGCAACGCCGCGUGAGUGAAGAAGGUUUUCGGAUUGUAAAGCUCUGUUAGCAGGGAAGAGGAAGGACGGUACCUGCAGAGGAAGCCACGGCUAACUACGUGCCAGCAGCCGCGGUAAUACGUAGGUGGCAAGCGUUGUUCGGAAUAACUGGGCGUAAAGGAUGCGUAGGCGGUUAAACAAGUUAUAUGUUAAAUAUAUAGGCUUAACCUGUAGAAAGCAUAUAAAACUGUUUAACUAGAGUGCAGGAGAGGUAAGUGGAAUUCCUAGUGUAGCGGUGAAAUGCGUAGAGAUUAGGAAGAACACCAGUGGCGAAGGCGACUUACUGGACUGUAACUGACGCUGAGGCAUGAGAGCAUGGGGAGCAAACAGGAUUAGAUACCCUGGUAGUCCAUGCUGUAAACGAUGGGUACUAGGUGUGGGUUGUGAAUAACAAUUCGUGCCGUCGCAAACGCAAUAAGUACCCCGCCUGA
rnacentral:rRNA from 1 species